UGCAGUCGAACGGUAACAGGAAGAAGCUUGCUUCUUUGCUGACGAGUGGCGGACGGGUGAGUAAUGUCUGGGAAACUGCCUGAUGGAGGGGGAUAACUACUGGAAACGGUAGCUAAUACCGCAUAACGUCGCAAGACCAAAGAGGGGGACCUUCGGGCCUCUUGCCAUCGGAUGUGCCCAGAUGGGAUUAGCUAGUAGGUGGGGUAAAGGCUCACCUAGGCGACGAUCCCUAGCUGGUCUGAGAGGAUGACCAGCCACACUGGAACUGAGACACGGUCCAGACUCCUACGGGAGGCAGCAGUGGGGAAUAUUGCACAAUGGGCGCAAGCCUGAUGCAGCCAUGCCGCGUGUAUGAAGAAGGCCUUCGGGUUGUAAAGUACUUUCAGCGGGGAGGAAGGGAGUAAAGUUAAUACCUUUGCUCAUUGACGUUACCCGCAGAAGAAGCACCGGCUAACUCCGUGCCAGC
rnacentral:rRNA from 2 species